GACAGAGGUCCCAAGCGUUAGGCGGAAUCACUGGGCUUAAAGCGUGUGUAGGCGGAUGCCUAAGUACCUUGUGAAAUCCCACGGCUCACCCGUGGAACUGCUUGGUAUACUGGGUGUCUUGAGCCACUUAGGGGCUACCGGAACAAAUGGUGGAGCGGUGAAACGCGUAGAUAUCAUUUGGAACGCCAAUGGUGAAAACAGGUAGCUGGGAGUGUGCUGACGCUGAGACACGAAAGCCAGGGGAGCAAACGGG
rnacentral:rRNA from 1 species